AAAAAAAAAAAAGGCAAGCAAGAAAAGCUCUUAGGUUUGCAACACAUUGGAAAACCGGGGGAGUGCCCCGCCUCGUCCGUUCUCGGUGCCCCGCGAGGGCCUUCCGGGUUUUAGAGCGAACCUCUCGCUAUUCUCAAUGCCCCUCACCUCCUCCGAGUUUAGGAUCCGAGGAGUCCGAGCAAAGAGUUCUCCCCCCGGGCCAUAGUAAAGGGGUGUCAGGGUGAGAGUUGGGGGCAUUUUUCAAGAAGCAGCAACCAUCCGUCCCACCCCUGCUUCGGUAGCUGGGCCGCGGGAGUCGGUUGAGAGCAAAAAUCCCGGUGGGUUUAGGCGAAGGGGAUUCCGGGGCGAAGCGGAGCCGCGAGACCGCGCUUCGCGCAUCUCCCCUUCGGUCUCUGCCUCCAGUCUCCAGCCUGCUCCCCCUUUAAUUUCCAACCCCCCCCCUCCUUUAAUCUAAUUUCUUCCAACUCCACCUUUGUUGUUAACCGGCGUCACGCCCAGACCAGCCAAUCCCCGGCACGCUAUCAGCUUGUCAAAAAGGCUUGGCCAGCCCUGGGAAAGCAGGCCGCGGGCUCUGCUCCCCCUGCCCCUCCUCCCCCCGGCGGCGGCGGGGAGCCGCGAGGGGAGCCUGGCACCCCGGCCUCGCCGCCAGAGCCCCAGCGGGGCAGCCUUCCCGUAGGCCUCCGCUCUCCACCAUCCUGCGGGCCGGAGAUAGAAAGGCCUAGGCGCGACCACCAUCUACCCUCCCACUGCCGUCGGCUGCGGUUGUCUGUCUCUGCCUCUCCUCCACCGAGAAAGGUUCAUCUGGACGCAGGAAGCCAGAAGACGGUCUGAAGAACGCCUGCUUCCAUCAGGCGAGCCUACGGUUUGGGCCAUCGCUCCGGGGCGGCGCCAUCGCCCCCGGCUCUAGGGAUGCCAGCCUACCACAGCGGCACUACCAGCUGGGCCGCCGGCCCCUUUGGACUCUUCCCCUGUCACACAGCCUUCUCCAUCCUCACACCACGGCCUCGCUGUUGCUGUAAUUUAUCUUGUCUCCUGGGAGAACUGAGAGUCCUUUCCCAGGACUUCCACAGCCACAUCUGCCACGUUUCACAAACCGGGAGGAAAAUCUUGUCAAGAUCUGGUGUGUCCGAAUUUUUUAGUGGGUAGGAGGAGCCAAUUUACCUUGAUGCUAAUGAAGCUUAAGCUUCAGGGCCCCUCAUCGCAGGCUAUCUCUUUACUUUUGAUUCAUCAUUUGGUAUUAUUUUUUACUCCCCCCUCCCCCUCCCCACAAACCCAGUUCUGCCCUUGGAACCUACAGAGGGCAUUUUGUGAAGGACCAAGCCAUGUCACACUGUACUUAGAACCUGCUGCUGCUGCUGCUAAGUCGCUUCAGUCGUGUCCGACUCUGCGUGACCCCAUAGACGGCAGCCCACCAGGCUCCUCCGACUCUGGGAUUCUCCAGGCAAGAAUACUGGAGUGGGUUGCCAUUUCCUUCUCCAACUUAGAACCUGCAGGGAAUAACUUUCUUGUUUUGACUUCGAAACAUCAAAAGGUUUGGAGUCAGAAGUCCCAGGUUUCCAGCCUCUGGGCUUUCCCACCUUAACGGUGUGAGUUUGAUUAAAUGUCUUAACUUCAUCUGAUCCCAGUUUUCUUGUCUAUAAAAUUAGAAUAGCAGCUGUGUGGUUACUUCAGUCGGGAGGGUCGCUCUACAAUUGCAUCGGCGGCGAGUAUCCUGCAGCAUUUCCCCACUACUGCAGCGGUAGUCACGAUGAGUUUGCCCCUCAACCCCAAACCUUUCCUCAGCGGAUUAACAGGAAGGCCAGUAAUGGUAAAGCUUAAAUGGGGAAUGAAGUACAAAGGCUACCUGGUGUCUGUAGAUGGCUAUGUGAACAUGCAGCUUGCAAACAGAAUACAUAGAUGGAGCAUUGUUUGGACAUCUGGGUGAAGUUUUACUAAGGUGUAAUAAUGUCCUUUAUAUCAGGGGUGUUGAAGAAGAUGGGUAAAUGAGAGAAUAGCAUCUUUUGGGGGGAAUUUUUUAAUAUAUAUUU